UGGGGAAUAUUGGACAAUGGGCGAAAGCCUGAUCCAGCCAUGCCGCGUGUGUGAAGAAGGUCUUCGGAUUGUAAAGCAAUGUAAGUUGGGAGGAAGGGCAUUAACCUAAUACGUUAGUGUUUUGACGUUACCGACAGAAUAAGCACCGGCUAACUCUGUGCCAGCAGCCGCGGUAAUACAGAGGGUGCAAGCGUUAAUCGGAAUUACUGGGCGUAAAGCGCGCGUAGGUGGUUUGUUAAGUUGGAUGUGAAAGCCCCGGGCUCAACCUGGGAACUGCAUCCAAAACUGGCAAGCUAGAGUACGGUAGAGGGUGGUGGAAUUUCCUGUGUAGCGGUGAAAUGCGUAGAUAUAGGAAGGAACACCAGUGGCGAAGGCGACCACCUGGACUGAUACUGACACUGAGGUGCGAAAGCGUGGGGAGCAAACA
rnacentral:rRNA from 1 species